UGAGAGAGAGAAUGAGUGGAGUAGGAAGGGUGGUGUGUGUAACUGGAGCUUCAAGUUACAUAGCUUCAUGGCUGGUGAAGCUCCUAUUACAACAAGGGUACACUGUCAAAGCAUCUGUUCGUGACCCAAAUGAUUCAAAGAAAACAAAACACUUGGUAAAGAAAGACUUUAUUUGUUCAAAGCAAAUUUAUUAGAAGAAGGAUCUUUAGAUUCUGCUAUCAAUGGAUGUGAUGGUGUCUUUCACACAGCAUCUCCUCUCCUGUUCUUCAUUCGGUUGCUGAUCCUCAGGUAAACAUAAUAUUGGAAGAAACAACUACAAAAUUAUUGGUCUGAAUAAACACAUUACAGAGAGAGAGCAGAGGAUGAGUGGAGCAGGAAAAGUGGUGUGUGUUACAGGAGCUUCAGGUUACAUAGCUUCAUGGCUAUGUAAAAUGUGCGUGUCCUAAAAUGUGUUUUUUAAGGACUUUCAAUGAGAGUUCUAAAAAAUAUUGAAAAAUAUUGGGAUAUUUUUUAGGACUUACAUUUAUGUGCGUGUCCUAAAAAGGAGACCCGUAAAGGAUAUUUUGUAGUAGUGAUAAAAAGAAGAAAACGAUUUAAUUACAUAAUAACAUUUACGCAAUCAUUAUCUACAUGAUGAGAUCUCCCUAAUAUAUAUAUAUAUAUAUAUUUUCUAUAUAAUAAGUGUGUAGAUAACAGAAAUUCUUGAUAACCAUAACACAAAUUGUUCUAUGAUAACUGAACAACCCAUGUGUUUUUCUAUGAUUUUCUUUCAUCAAUUUCCUCAUAAAUACUCAUAAUUCAUCUUUUUCUUCUGUACACAGUCUUUAGUGUACUUGUGUUUGAAGUUAGAGAAAAGCUAGACAAUUAAAGAACCAUGCGACCAGCUGAAGGUUUAUCAUGGCUAUCUGGCUAGUUCUUAUCAUACUGGGAUUCUUUCUAAAUUUGUGUCGAUUUCUUCUUACAUGGAAAGUGUGGCAUCUAGUAAGACAUCAGUAAGCACUGUACUUCCGAGAAGGCUUAAACAGGCCAGACUAUGAGAAAUUGGAGGCCUAGGACCCUCUUCCUAUUUCCUACAUGUGAUUCUCUCCUUUACCAAAUAAACACAACAAUUUCUAUAUUUUGUUCGGCAGCCUAAUACUUUAUAGUUUAAGUUCUCCUUUUACUACCACAAGAAGAAGAAAAAAUAUCAUGAAUUUUGUUAAUAUUUUAGAGACUCAAAUAAAAGGAGAAGCAAACUUCAACCCAAAAAAGCAUUUAUUAAG